CCUACGGGAGGCUGCAGUGAGGAAUAUUGGUCAAUGGGCGCUAGCCUGAACCAGCCAAGUAGCGUGAAGGAUGACUGCCCUCUGGGUUGUAAACUUCUUUUAUAUGGGAAUAAAGUGCAGUAUGUAUACUGCUUUGCAUGUACCUUAUGAAUAAGGAUCGGCUAACUCCGUGCCAGCAGCCGCGGUAAUACGGAGGAUCCGAGCGUUAUCCGGAUUUAUUGGGUUUUAAGGGAGCGUAGGCGGGUUGUUAAGUCAGUUGUGAAAGUGUGAGGCUCAACCGUAACAUUGCAGUUGAUACUGGCAGCCUUGAGUACAGGAGAGGUAGGCGGAAUUCGUGGUGUAGCGGUGAAAUGCUUAGAUAUCACGAAGAACUCCGAUUGCGAAGGCAGCCUGCUGGACUGUAACUGACGCUGAGGCUCGAAAGUGUGGGUAUCAAACAGGAUUAGAUAACCCUGUAGUC
rnacentral:rRNA from 1 species